CCUUCUCGCAGCUUGUGCAAAUUCCUGCUGUGCCUUCCCAGGAGGAAUGUUUGCAGUACCCAUCAAGAGCACUCGAGCAGAGAGGAACCCAAGGGGGAAACCAUCUUCCCGACACGCUACUGCACCUAAGCGAAGGCAGCGAAAAGACAGCCGUUCUACCAAAAUGGGGGAAAGGCUUCUUACGGGCAACAUGAAGUUGGCUACCAGGAGACCGGGCUGCUGAACAGGAUGGACCAUCAAGUUGCUUCAUAGAAAUUGACGAUCAUUCUGCUAGAGCUAGAACUGACAUUUCCACAAGGACUAUCUUUUGUCUGUGGGCUAUGAGGAAGGACUGGUUCCACAAGAAAACCCACUGCUGUUGAUGGAAGAAAGAGAGGUCAGCAAGAGUAGGUGUUUUGAUAUCAUCUCCCUUUUCCCUGUGCAAAUGCAUGCAUCCUUCCUCUCAUUACAACUGCAAGGCACAAAUGCCAAAAUGAUACCCUUUAUGAUGUGACACCUUCACAUGAGAGGACUCACCAUGGUUAUGAAGUUUCCUGGGUCACCUCUACGGUCAACUGAACUUACCUAUCAUCCUGAAGUAAAUUGCCUGCUGCUUACUUCCCCUGCUACCUAUAACAAAUAUCUCCUCUGUGAUUCUUCUUCUUCUGUUUGCCCAAGAGUCUAAGGCUGCAUCCAGACAUUGCUUACUUAUUCCACUAUAUUUGAAUAUAUCAAAAUAUCCAUGCAUUAUUCGGGAAUAUCCAACUGUAGCAGAUGCAGCCUUAGUCAGUAUGAAUUGUUCUUACCUUUCCCAAACACACUUCACCUCC
rnacentral:lncRNA from 1 species